UUAUCCCAAAGCAAAACUAAUCCCUAAAAAAAUAAUUUCUCAUUGAUUAAACAACCGAGUCUUCUCCUGAACCAUUCAUUUAUCUUUCUUCCAUAAUAUAGAACCUCUCAGCACCUGUAUUCUUUUUCAGCAUCAGUAAAACAUAACGAAUCUGCAGCAGCAGCAGCAGCAGCAGGGGGGGAGGCAGAAUUGCACAAGACGGUUCAGUUCAGGUUGCUUACAAGAUGUCCCCAAAAACAGCACAAAUCCGCCUUGUGAGUUCGCAUCCCGAGGUUUAUGAACCGUGUGAUGAUUCCUUUGCGCUUGUCGAUGCGCUUCUAGCUGAUCGAACUAAUAUACUAGAUCAUUGUCCCAGAUUAUGUUUGGAAGUGGGUUGUGGUAGUGGUUAUGUGAUUGCUUCUCUAGCUCUUAUGCUUGGACAGGAGCUUCCUGGGGUGUACUACUUUGCCACUGAUAUUAAUGCUCAUGCACUGAGAGUGACCCGUGAGACGCUGGAUGCUCAUGCUGUUGAUGCCGAGUUAUUGUGCAUGGAUAUUGCAUCUGGGCUUGAGAAGAGGUUGGCAGGAAUGGUGGAUGUGAUGGUUGUCAACCCACCUUAUGUUCCGACACCUGAUUAUGAGGUGGGUCGUGAAGGAAUUGCGUCAGCUUGGGCUGGAGGGGAGAAUGGUAGGAGUGUAAUUGAUAGGAUAUUGCCUGUAGCUGAUAGACUUUUGUCGGAUAAGGGAUGGUUAUACAUGGUUACUCUUACAACAAAUGAUCCUUCACAGAUAUGUCUUCUGAUGAGAAAGAAGGGGUAUGCUUCUAGAAUUGUUGUCCAGAGAUCAACAGAAGAAGAGAGCCUUCACAUCAUCAAGUUUUGGCGUGAUUCUGAUAUUCAAUUGGAUACAAAGGAGAUCUUAACGACUAACAAAUCGGUUCCUGCAAGGGUCAAGGACUCACUCGUUUCACAGUUUUCUCAAUUGUCAUUCUGGAGAGGUACCAACAGCAAUUGUUUAUGAAACAGAAGGUAAACAAAAAGUUUGCAUUUUUGUCUUCGGAUAUGUCACCUUUUCUUGCCUGCCAUUUCUAUAUUUCUCUCAUAGUUAUCUUAGACUUCGGUGUAUAUGAUUAUUUUGGUGCCUGCCAAGGGGUUUCAUGUCAGUAAAAACUCAGAUUUUUGCAAUAAUCUGUAGCUCCUCUCUUCUGUAUCGAUUGUCUACGCUUUCUCUCCAUCAUCUUACUUUCUUUGGUGAUUCGGAGCAUACUUCAAAAUUGUGGUUUCAGGAGGCUUUUUAAAACAGAUCAGGAUUGAGGGCUGGCCAAACCAUUCAGUGAACUUGAUUCCAUGUCUAGUAUGCUCAUCUAUUGUUUACAUUUCCUUUUCCUCAUUUCAUAAGAUAAGAGAAAAGUCAAUUAAAGAGUAUAAAAAUGAAAUGAAAGCAUUUCUUGCUAAUGGUAUAUGAGAUUUGAGAGGUCCAAAGAUGGAGAAAAGAAUGAUAGCUGAGUAGCCUGCUCAAGAAGGCGCAUCAUGAGUCAGCAUAGCAGAAUAACUCAAUUUGCCUGAGCCAGGUGAAAUUCUUCCAAGAUACCAUGCAGACAAAGAAAUAAGAAUAGAAUAGGACCUUCUAUCAGAGAUUCUUAGCUCAAUUCUGAUAAGAGGCAACAAGGAACAAUCCAACAGAAAGCAAGUUGAUAAGGUCGCAGGUAGCCUUACAUUUGAGAUGACCAUUUUUGCACUCGAGGGUUAUAACAGAAGUUUGCAAUCCACACUUCGAGCUAGUUUCAGAGUUUAUGGAUCUCAUUGUUGAAAAACCUCUCUAGAGUCCCUUGUCGGCAACCUGGUUGUUGGAAAACUUCUUUUCUUUCACUGAUACCUGAACCUAAGCUCAUUUGCUGGUCUCAGAUGCGUCGAGUCCGGACUGCUGCUGAAGAUCAUUCUAUUAAGAUCACGGCAUUUAUGGUCUGUUGCUGUCAAUCAAUUCUAUGAUUUAUGGCAAAUGUUUUCAAAUGUAAUGUCAAAAUCAGACACGCCACAGUUUGCUUACAACAAAUUUAACUUUCAGUU